GCCGGUAUAGCUCAGUUGGUAGAGCAACGCUUUCGUAAAGCGUAGGUCAUCAGUUCGAAUCUGAUUAUCGGCU
rnacentral:tRNA from 2 species